rnacentral:rRNA from 1 species
GAUGAACGCUGGCGGCGUGCCUAAUACAUGCCAGUCGAGCGAACAGACGAGGAGCUUGCUCCUCUGACGUUAGCGGCGGACGGGUGAGUAACACGUGGAUAACCUACCUAUAAGACUGGGAUAACUUCGGGAAACCGGAGCUAAUACCGGAUAAUAUAUUGAACCGCAUGGUUCAAUAGUGAAAGACGGUUUUGCUGUCACUUAUAGAUGGAUCCGCGUCGCAUUAGCUAGUUGGUAGGGUAACGGCUUACAAAGGCAACGAUGCGUAGCCGACCUGAGAGGGUGAUCGGCCACACUGGAACUGAGACACGGUCCAGACUCCUACGGGAGGCAGCAGUAGGGAAUCUUCGGCAAUGGGCGAAAGCCUGACGGAGCAACGCCGCGUGAGUGAUGAAGGUCUUCGGAUCGUAAAACUCUGUUAUUAGGGAAGAAAAAAUGUGUAAGAAACUAAGCACGUCUUGACGGUACCUAAUCAGAAAGCCACGGCUAACUACGUG